GCGCGCUGAUAAGCGUGAGGUCGGAGGUUCAAGUCCUCCCAGGCCCACCAAUUACUCUAUCAAUCUAUAAGCGCUUGUGAAAUUUACUCAUAGGGAAUGUCCCUUAUCAAUUUUUAAGAAAUUUACUUUUGCAAAAUUAUGCUCUCUCUUUGGUUUUAAAAUCCGAAUUUUUAAAAACUAAAGUUAAAGUGGUCUCAAGAUAAAACGGUGUUUUGAGACAAAGUGCAAAAAAUAACGAUUUAAGUGAUAAAUAGCGGUUUAAGUGAACUUAAAUUUGAGCGUUUCAAGUGCAUUAUGUUUUUUUAGGGGCCGUAGCUCAGCUGGGAGAGCACCUGCUUUGCAAGCAAGAGCACCUGCUUUGCAAGCA
rnacentral:misc_RNA from 1 species